AGUGAACGCUGGCGGCGUGCCUAAUACAUGCAAGUCGAACGGAGUGGCGCACGGGCGAGUAAUAUAUAGCUAAUCUGCCCCUUGCUGGAGGACAACAGUUAGCAAUGACUGCUAAUACUCCAUAGCAAGGGAUGAGACUAUAUCGUAUCAGCUAGUCGGUGGGGGAACGGCCUACCGAGGCUAUGAAGAGUAACUGGUCUGAGAGGAUGAUCAGGUAAAUGGGGACUGAGACACGGUCCAAAUUCCUACGGGAGGAAGAAGUAGGGAAUAUGGCGCGAUGGGUGAAACCCUGACGCAGCAACGCCGCGUGGAGGAGGACACUUUGCGGAGCGUAAACUCCUUUUGUUAGGGAAGCGGUACCUAACGAAUAAGCACCGGCUAAGUCCGUGUCAGCAGCCGCGGUAAUAC
rnacentral:rRNA from 1 species